AGGCCAUUAAAGCUGGUGAGCGACUUGGAAGUCAUUUAGAAAGGAACAGACCUUCAACCUCAAGCCUUUGCGGGCACUGGGAAAGUGUCUUCCCAAUCAAUCUGGCUUGCAGGCGGCAGGACCAACUCUGACCUGGCUUAUCUUGUACCCAUCCUAAAUACACCAAACUCAAGAGGUAGCCAGGGCCGCCUCAACACCGAGGCAGGUCUGAUUCUAUUUAUUCUAAAGACAGAGUUGGAGAUGGGCUACCAUUGGUGUUGAUUGAGAUGACAAGCAGUCACCUGAGCCCAUACAGCUGGGUUCACAGAUGUGGCUAGUCUUGCUAGCCAGCUCGCACUGUGGACAUUCUAGGGAACUGACUGCAGUCCUCAUGCUUGGAGUCAAACACUUUAACCACUGCACACGUUUAUGUAAUAGGAUUGACAUAUGAGAAUCAGAGAAAUGAAUGAAAGAUUAGAGGUAAGCAAGAGCCAAGUAAUAGUGGAGGUGAGAGGGGGAAGUGGGCGUGACUGUGUGAGAGGGGGAAGUGGGCGUGACUGUGUGAGAGGGGGAAGUGGGCGUGGCCGCGUGAGAGGGGGGAAGUGGGCGUGGCCGCGUGAGAGGGGGAAGUGGGCGUGGCUGUGUGAGAGGGGGAAGUGGGCGUGACUACAAAAGGACAGCAAUGGAUUCCAGGCUCAAAGCAAACAAUUUGUAUUUAGCUGUGGCAGAACUGAUAACCUAGUUGUGAUAUUGUGUAACAGCACUGCUAAAGCUGGGUAAGAAGAUUGAAAGAUCUCUAUUUUUUUUUUAAUUGCUGCAUGAGAACAUUCAAAAAGCUUAACAAAAGGUCAGUGGAUAUUCUAGGAAGUCAAUCCCAUACUUUCUAGAACUAGAGUCUAGACCAGAAAGUAUUCUAGUCUAGAGUCAGACUGGGGGAAGGAUAGGAGUGUGAAUAAGUCUGACAUUUUCUAACCUUAAGAAAGAGUCUCAGGUCAUUUAUCAAACUAGUCUGAUUUUUUUUUUAAUCUCUGAAUUUUAUUAUGGAUUAUAGAUCUAUUUGGGAAAAGAUUUGGGGAAAGACAAGAAGCCAUCUCUUGUUAGGGGACUUUUUCUUUGCAUAGAACUUUAAAAUUGAUGAGCUGAUUGAACUAUACAUUAGAAGACAAAACUAG
rnacentral:lncRNA from 1 species